rnacentral:rRNA from 1 species
GAUGAACGCUAGCUACAGGCUUAACACAUGCAAGUCGAGGGACCGGCGCACGGGUGAGUAACACGUAACCAACCUUCCCUUUACUCGUGGAUAGCCUUUCGAAAGAAAGAUAAAUACUCGUUAUAAAGGAUGGGGAUGCGUUCCAUUAGGUUGUUGGUGAGGUAACGGCUAACCAAGCAUUCGAUGGAUAGGGGAUAGGAGAGGAAGGGCCCCCGCAUUGUAGAGACGACACGGUCCAAAAGCCUACGGCAGGAAGCAGUGAGGGAUAUUAGUCAAUGAGGGGUAGCCGGAACAAGCCAAGUAGCGUGAAGGAUGAAGGCUUAUGGGUCGUAAACUGCUUUUAUAUAAGAAUAUGUAUUAGAUGAAUAAGGAUCGGCUAACUCCGUGCCAGCAGCCGCGGUAAUUC